AGAGGUUUAAAUGACUUGAUCAUGCAGUUAGUACCUGAGGCCAGAUUUGAACUUACGAAGAAGAGUCCUCCUAUCAUCUCCAGAAACUGAUGUAAUGGACUUCUCUACUAUCAGCAAAGGAUCCAGGACAAGCCAAAGGGACUUAUGAGAAAGAACAAUAUCCAUACACAGAGAAAGAACUGUGGGAGUAUAUAUGCAGAAGAAAAAUGUCAUCGAUCUCAUGGUUCGAUGGGUUCUUGAAGACUGCUAUAAAGAAGAAUAAUGCCUUGAUUUAUUUUAAACCUUGAAAUACUGUGUAUUGACUCCAACGCAGAAGAAUUGUAAGAGCUAAGCAAUGGGGGCUUAAGUGACUUGUCCAGGAUCAUACAGCUGUGAAGUGUCUGAGGCCAGAUUUGAACCUAGGACCUCCUGUUUCUAGGCCAGACUCUCAAUCCACUGAGCCACCCAGCUGCCCCACCUUGAUUUUCUUCUAACAGAUUUUUUUUUCUUUUGC
rnacentral:lncRNA from 1 species